GACGAAGGGGGCUAGCGUUGCUCGGAAUCACUGGGCGUAAAGCGCACGUAGGCGGAUUGCUAAGUCAGGGGUGAAAUCCUGGAGCUCAACUCCAGAACUGCCUUUGAUACUGGCGAUCUCGAGUCCGGGAGAGGUGAGUGGAACUGCGAGUGUAGAGGUGAAAUUCGUAGAUAUUCGCAAGAACACCAGUGGCGAAGGCGGCUCACUGGCCCGGUACUGACGCUGAGGUGCGAAAGCGUGGGGAGCAAACAGG
rnacentral:rRNA from 1 species